GCGUAAGUACAUUUGUUUACAAGGCGUCUCAUGACGGACGAGUUUUUUGACAAUGGGAAUUUUCGGUGUACCCGAUGCAAUGAUCUAAGUAUAAGGAAAGAGGUUGGUGGAAAAUGCAGUGGACGCCUUUGUAUUGCCGAUAUUGUUUCACAAUUUAUUACACUGGUGCAUAAAUUGCGUCUGAAAAUCAAAGCCAUGGAUGAGCUACAUCCGGAUUUGGGAGGCUUGGUCGAUACAAUGAAUCGUUUAUCAUUGAUUCCAUCUAGAUUUGAGAGCAAAGAAAAGUUUACCAAUUGGCUCAACACGCUGAACACGAUGCAAGCCUCCGACGGGGCUUUUCCUAUUAAUUCUUUUCUUUUUUGUUAAACCAAGAUUCAGAACUGUGACUCUUUGAUCUUCAACCGAAUAAAUAAACACCACAAA